rnacentral:misc_RNA from 1 species
UUGCACUUUGUCAUUUUUCCCUCGGUUACAAAUUAUAAGUAAAAAUGAUUAACUUUGAAACAAGUCCAAAAGGAUAAAACAACUAAGAUAAUGGCACUCCUCACAUUUGGAAAAAUAAAAAUUCAAAUUUAUGAAGGAAAAAAAAUAGUCAAGUAGCAAGAUUGAAAAAGAUCACUUUUGUUAUUUCAGAGAGAGAGAGAAAGAGAGAGA